UACGGAGGGUGCGAGCGUUGUCCGGAAUCACUGGGCGUAAAGGGCGCGUAGGCGGCUUGAUAAGUCGGGGGUGAAACCCUGCGGCUUAACCGCAGGGCUGCCUUCUAAACUGUCAGGCUCGAGCACAGUAGAGGCAGGUGGAAUUCCCGGUGUAGCGGUGGAAUGCGUAGAGAUCGGGAAGAACAUCAGUGGCGAAGGCGGCCUGCUGGGCUGUUGCUGACGCUGAGGCGCGACAGCGUGGGGAGCAAACAGG
rnacentral:rRNA from 1 species